GGUCGCAGUGGCUCAGGUGGGUAGAGGUUUGGCUGUGGCGCAGAAGACCAGGGUUCGAUCCCCACUGAGGUCA